AGAGUUUGAUCCUGGCUCAGGAUGAACGCUGGCGGCGUGCUUAAUGUAUGCAAGUCAAGGGGGCCGUCUCCGCAAGGGGACGUGCAACCGGCGGACGGGUGAGUAAUACGUGGGAAUCUACCUGGAAGUUGGACAUAGCCGGCCGAAAGGUCGGGUAAUUUCCAAUGUGAUCGCGAGAUUAAAGAUUUAUCGCUUCCAGAUGAGCCUGCGUCCUAUCAGCUUGUUGGUGGGGUAAUGGCCUACCAAGGCGACGACGGGUAGCUGGUCUGAGAGGAUGGUCAGCCACAAUGGGACUGCGACACGGCCCAUACACCUACGGGUGGCGCAGCAGGGAAUUUUCGACAAUGGGCGCAAGCCUGAUCGAGCGACGCCGCGUGGAGGAUUGAAGGUCUUCGGAUUGUAAACUCCUUUUACGAGGGAAGAUUAUGACGGUACCUCGCGAAUAAGCCGCUGCUAACUACGUGCCAGAAGCCUCGGUAAUACGUAGGCGGCAAGCGUUAUCCGGAAUCAUUGGGCGUAAAGAGUUGCGUAGGCGGAAUGACGCAUCUUGCUAUAAAGCCCGUGGCCUAACCACGGUUUUUGGCAAGAGAUGGUUAUUCUUGAUGUAUUGAGAGGGUGUUGGAACCGGUGGUGGAGCAGUGAAAUGCGUUGAUAUCAUCGGGAACGCCGAAGGAGUAGUCAGACACCUAGCAAUACCAUGACGCUUAGGCACGACAGCUUGGGGAGCGAAGCAGAUUAGAGACCUGCGUAGUCCAAGCCGUAAACGAUCUCUGCUGGUUAUCGGGAUUUAUCUCGGUGACGAAGCUAACGCGUUAAGCAGAGCGCCUGGGGAGUACGAGCGCAAGCUUAAAACUCAAAGGAAUUGACGGGGAGGCGCACAAGCAGUGGAGCGUGUGGUUUAAUUCGAUUUAAAGCGAAAAACCUCACCAGGGUUUGACAUGGAUCUGCAAGCGCACGGAAACGUGUGACCUUCGAGGGUGAUCCACAGAUGCUGCAUGGCCGUCGUCAGCUCGUGGCGUGAGCUGUACCGUUAAGUCGGGUAACGAGCGCAACCCCCACCAUAUGUUAAAUAUUUCAUAUGGAACUGCCCCUUUUGGGGAGGAAGGCGGGGAUGAUGUCAGGUCAGCACGGCUCUUACACCCUGGGCAACACACACCCUACAAUGGCGAAAAACAACGAGUUGCAAACUGGUAACAGUAAGCUAAUCUCUGAAAUUUCGCCUCAGUUCAGAUUGAGGUCUGCAACCCGACCUCAUGAAGGAGGAAUUGCUAGUAAUCGCGAAUCAGCAGGUCGCGGUGAAUACGUUCUCGCCUCUUGUACACACUGCCCGUCAAGGCAGCAAAGUUGGGGGCACCCGAAUGGGCUUUUAGCUCAGAAGGUGAAACCAGCGAUGAAGCUUAAGUCGUAACAAGGUAUCCCUACCCGAAGGUGGGGAUG
rnacentral:rRNA from 1 species